rnacentral:tRNA from 1 species
GGGGAUUUAGCUCAGCGGUAGAGCGUUUGCCUAGCAAGCUCAAGGCCCUGGGUUCGGUCCCCAGCUCCG